rnacentral:lncRNA from 1 species
CGAAAAGAAUUCAGUCCGUCCAUUGUUUUUCGAGUUUGAGGGCCUUAACGAUAACCAAAUUGGCUGAAAUUUUGCAGAGAUGAUCUGCACAAUAUUAUCUAGAUACUAGACGAUGGAGAUGAGAAAAUUCGAUCGAAAAGUGGUGCAAAAAUGGAAAUCCGCACCAAAACCAUUGGUGCGGACGUCCGCACCUGAUCAGCAUUGUAUAUAUAUAUAAUCUGCACCAAAACCAUUGGUGCGAACGUCCGCACCUGAUCAACAUUGUAUAUAUAUGUAAUACCGGUCACGCUCGCCGCCGAGGCCGAAAUCCCGAACUCGACCGGAAACCCAAUCGCCUUCUCUCCUCCUUUUCUCUCUCACUGGAGCUUCGCAUCGAAAACGAAGAUAAUCUUGAGGACGAGGACAACGAGACGGACCUGUGGACACCGACCUUGCACCGAGAGGCGACCGGACGACGGACGGAGCGAUCGAUCUGUGUGGGACUGGGUCGAACUGAUCCAGUUCCUAUCUCUUAUGUAAUUAAACGAACAAUCUAGGUUCAGCGGUUUAAACUCCUACGGUCCAGAUCAAGCCACGCUUUAAUUUCUAUUUUUGAUUAAAUUUUUGAAUAAUACACUACCAGGACAAGCACUUUAGCCGACGAAACGGUAGUGUAAGCACUUUAGCCGACGAAAAAGUUUCGUCGGCCUGUUAGCUUAAUUCGUCGGCUAAGAUCUUAGCCGACGAGCCUUCGUCGGCUAUGGUUUCGUCGGGAAAGGGUCGUUGGCGAUGACUUUAGCCGACGACACUAGAAGACAUAGUCGGCUUUAGUCCCAGAAUUUAGCCGACGAUACGAAAAAGAGAUCGUCGGCUUUUUUCCCAGAAUUUAGCCGACGAAUAUCUUAAAUGUUUCGUCGACCGUAGUCUGAGACUUUAGCCGAAAAAACGUAUAAUAUAUUCGUUGGCUAUAGUAUGUAAUAAAAAAAAUAUAAAAUAAAUAAAGCCGACGAAAUAUAGUCUGUUUCAUCGGCUUUAGAAGGGUUUAGCCGAUGAAACAUUCCAUAAUUCGUCGGCUAAACCUUAUAAAAAAAAAUUAAAAAUACUAUAGCCGAGAAUUAUGGCGUAUUUCGUCGGAUAUAAUUCCAUUCCAGUAAAAAAAAAACCCGAAAUUUCUAAAUUACUAUUCCAAUCAAGCUGCAAAAUACACCAAAACAAUUCCAUAUAACCAACAACAAGCACAUAAAACUAUAUAAUUCAUCAACUACACAAAAUCUAGAUCGUCUAAAUUAAUAUCCGCUUCUGGGGGCUGCUGCGGAGGUUGCAACGGCUGGGGUAGCGGUAUAGCCGUAGGCAUGGGCGGAGCCGGAAGUCCCUGAAGCUGGGCAGCUGUAAACUCCUGCAUGUACUAAAACAUCUGCCGCUGCUGGGCCUGCUAGAUGGCAUAUAUCUCGGCUGCCUGCGCUGUAUUAUAGGCUGCCUGCGCGGCAUUAUAGGCAACCUGAGCAGCUUGCUGUUCCCGUAGUCUCUGAACUUCCAACUCUAGCUGAGUCGUCUUAGUGGUCGUGGUCCUGCUGCUGGUCGAGGCUGCCUUUCGUUGAAAUCCUGGAGUGGUCUUCAGGACCCCCUCGCCCUUCUUUCCUAGACCCUGGCAGUUAGUAAGUUGUUUUGCUCGCG